rnacentral:rRNA from 1 species
UACAGGGGGUGCAAACGUUGCUCGGAAUCAUUGGGCGUAAAGCGCACGUAGGCGGUUUGUUAUGUCGGAUGUGAAAGCCCUUGGCUCAACUAAGGAAGUGCAUCCGAAACUGGCAGCUAGAGUACUAAAGAGGGUCGCGGAAUUCCCGGUGUGGAGGUGAAAUUCGUAGAUAUCGGGAGGAACACCGGUGGCGAAGGCGGCGACCUGGGUAGAUACUGACGCUGAGGUGCGAAAGCGUGGGGAGCAAACAGG